rnacentral:lncRNA from 1 species
AAAACUUCGCCAUCUGCGCGCUUGAAUCCGAGAGGAAUCUGCGCUGUUCUUGCUGAAGAUUGGAUCCACAGCGUCAGAUGCGAUGCUUCCUUCGCCUACCUCGCGAUGUUCUCGUCGUACUUCGUCGGCAAGAGCAGUGCCGCCAUCAAAGGCCUGGCCAGGUGAGCCUGAAGAACCCUAAUCCCUCCCCUUCCUCCCCCGAUCUCGAUGCCUUGUCUCCUAGAUUCGGCCAUCCCUCUCGUCUUCACGGGUUUUUGUUCAAGGAAUCGAGCAGCGAGGACCGCGAGCACGCUGAGGACCUGGUCCUUGCGGACGAAUCCCCCCCGCCAACAUUUUUGGAUCGUCUCUCCUUCUGGAUGCGGAUCUGCUCGUGUACUCGGAACGAGUUCGAUCUGCAGGAGAGCUGCAGUCCAUCCUGAUCCCUGCGAACGAGUUCGAUGAAGCCGAGAGAGGAGACGCUCUGAAUGGUGAGUGAUCUGAUCACAAAGGAUACCUCGUCCCCUCUUUUCUUCAUUUCUCGCAAAAAUUCUGGAAUCCAGAUAGGAAAAGCUUGCUUGGCCCGCAAGAUCGUCUCGCCUAAACCUGGAGCAUGAAUUGCACGUAGAUUUUGUAACCGGUAUAAAAAUAUUGCUGAAAUUUUAGAAUAAUCCUUUGAUGAACCCCUAGCUCUUCAUCCUCCGAGUUCUCCAAUUCAAAUCUCCUGAUUCGCAAUCCAAUCCAUUCAUUGUUCUCUUUCCUAGGGUACAAAUUGUCACACCGAAAUCAGCCGACAAACUCUUCGCCGAUGAGACGACCACGAGUUCCUCCACUUCCUUUCCCCUCCUCAGAUCAUCUCCUCACUGAUCCCCAGCUCUCGCUUCAUCUUCUCUCUCUCUCUCUCUCUCUCUACUCUGUUCCUCCAGGGCGGAUCGACUGAUCAAGAUCUUCAAACCAUGAGGCACCCAAAGGCAUCGAUCAUCCAGAACCCGAGCAUCAUCCCGCAUCAGUCCUGACGAACCAGAGAGGCCUCGGGCAAGAACAGCGAUGGUGGGAGGGAGGAGGAGGAAGAAGAAGGUGAUCCUCAG